UUUAUCGGAGAGUUUGAUUCUGGCUCAGAACGAACGCUGGCGGCGUGGAUAAGACAUGCAAGUGGAACGACAGUCAUGGCGUAGCAAUAUGUCACGGUUGGAGUCGCGUAAGGGUGAUUAACACGUGGAUAAUCUACCGCGAAAACCCGGAUAACUCGCUGAAAGGCGAGCUAAUACAGGAUGCUUCUGCAGGAUAGCAUUGUGCUGCAGAUAAAGCUGGGGACCGCAAGGCCUGGCGUUUUGCGAUGAGUCCGCGGCCUAUCAGCUAGUUGGCGUGGUAAUGGCACACCAAGGCUUUGACGGGUAGCUGGUCUGAGAGGACGGCCAGCCACACUGGAACUGAGACACGGUCCAGACACCUACGGGUGGCAGCAGUCGAGAAUCUUUCACAAUGGGCGAAAGCCUGAUGGAGCGACGCCGCGUGGGGGAUGAAUGGCUUCGGCCCGUAAACCCCUGUCAUUCGCGAACAAUUCUUGCGCAAGAAAGCUGCGCAAGUUGAUAGUAGCGGAAGAGGAAGAGACGGCUAACUCUGUGCCAGCAGCCGCGGUAAUACAGAGGUCUCAAGCGUUGUUCGGAUUUACUGGGCGUAAAGGGUGCGUAGGUAGUGUUUCAAGUCCGGGGUGAAAUACCAGGGCCUAACUCUGGAAGCGCUUCGGAUACUGACUCGCUAGAGGUAUGGAAGGGAAGUUGGAAUUCUCGGUGUAGCAGUGAAAUGCGUAGAUAUCGAGAGGAACACCGUUCGCGAAGGCAAACUUCUAGAAAUAUCCUGACACUGAUGCACGAAAGCUAGGGGAGCAAACGGGAUUAGAUACCCCGGUAGUCCUAGCCCUAAACGGUGCGCGCUUGCUGUAAGGGGAAUCGACCCCCCUUGUGGCGGAGCUAACGCGUUAAGCGCGCCGCCUGGGGAGUACGGCCGCAAGGCUAAAACUCAAAGAAAUUGACGGGGGCCUGCACAAGCGGUGGAGUAUGUGGCUUAAUUCGAUGCAACGCGAAGAACCUUACCUGGUCUUGACAUGCUUCUAGUAGGAGGGCGAAAGCUUGACGAGGUAGGAAUACCAAGAAGCACAGGUGCUGCAUGGCUGUCGUCAGCUCGUGUCGUGAGAUGUUGGGUUAAGUCCCGCAACGAGCGCAACCCCUUUGUCUUGUUUCGAGCAUCCGAUGAACCGGUAGCCGUGCUAGACAGACUGCCCCUCACAAAGGGGAGGAAGGUGGGGAUGACGUCAAGUCAGUAUGGCCCUUACGACCAGGGCUGCACACGUACUACAAUGCCCAGCACAAUUGGAUGCAAGUCCGCAAGGAGUAGCAAAUCCAGAAAACUGGGCCUAAUUCGGAUUGUCGUCUGCAACUCGACGACAUGAAGCCGGAAUCGCUAGUAAUGACGCAUCAGAUACGGCGUCGUGAAUACGUUCCCAGGCCUUGUACACACCGCCCGUCACAUCAUGAAAGCCGGUUGUGCCUGAAGCAAUGCCAUUUGCGGCGUAUCGAUGGUACACCUGGUGAUUGGGAUGAAGUCGUAACAAGGUAGCCGUAGGGGAACCUGCGGCUGGAUCACCUCCUUUCUUAGGAGU
rnacentral:rRNA from 1 species